CCAUCAUUCAGUUGGGGACUGUAGUGAGACUGCCUACGCAAGUAGAGAGGAAGGUGGGGAUGACGUCAAAUCAUCACGGCCCUUACGUCUUGGGCCACACACGUAAUACAAUGGCCGGUACAGAGGGCAGCUACACAGCGAUGUGAUGCAAAUCUCGAAAGCCGGUCUCAGUUCGGAUUGGAGUCUGCAACUCGACUCUAUGAAGCUGGAAUCGCUAGUAAUCGCGCAUCAGCCAUGGCGCGGUGAAUACGUUCCCGGGCCG
rnacentral:rRNA from 1 species